rnacentral:rRNA from 1 species
UACAGAGGGUGCAAGCGUUAAUCGGAGUUACUGGGCGUAAAGGGCGCGUAGGCGGUCCUGCAAGUGAGAUGUGAAAUCCCCGGGCUUAACCUGGGAACUGCAUCUUAAACUGCGGGGCUGGAGUACUGUAGAGGAUAGUGGAAUUUCCGGUGUAGCGGUGAAAUGCGUAGAGAUCGGAAGGAACACCAGUGGCGAAGGCGACUGUCUGGACAGAUACUGACGCUGAGGCGCGAAAGCGUGGGGAGCAAACAGG